GACGAACGCUGGCGGCGUGCUUAACACAUGCAAGUCGAACGGAAAGGCCCUGCUUUUGUGGGGUGCCCGAGUGGCGAACGGGUGAGUAACACGUGAGUAUCCUGCCCUUGACUUUGGGAUAACUUCAGGAAACUGGGGCUAAUACCGGAUAGGAGCCCCUGCUGCAUGGUGGGGGUUGGAAAGUUUCGGCGGUCGGGGAUGGAUUCGCGGCUUACCAGCUUGUUGGUGGGGUAGUGGCUUACCAAGGCUUUGACGGGUAGGCGGCCUGAGAGGGUGACCGGCCACAUUGGGACUGAGAUACGGCACAGACUCCUACGGGAGGCAGCAGUGGGGAAUAUUGCACAAUGGGCGGAAGCCUGAUGCAGCAACGCCGCGUGCGGGAUGACGGCCUUCGGGUUGUAAACCGCUUUCGCCUGUGACGAAGCGUGAGUGACGGUAAUGGGUAAAGAAGCACCGGCUAACUACGUG
rnacentral:rRNA from 1 species